rnacentral:rRNA from 1 species
AUUGCCCCAGUAACGGCGAGUGAAGCGGCAACAGCUCAAAUUUGAAAUCUGGCCCCCUCCGCGGGGGUCCGAGUUGUAAUUUGCAGAGGAUGCUUCUGGCGCGGCGCCUUCCGAGUUCCCUGGAACGGGACGCCACAGAGGGUGAGAGCCCCGUCCGGUCGGACGCCCAGCCUAUGUGAAGCACCUUCGACGAGUCGGGUAGUUUGGGAAUGCUGCCCUAAAUGGGAGGUAUAUGUCUUCUAAAGCUAAAUACCGGCCAGAGACCGAUAGCGCACAAGUAGAGUGAUCGAAAGAUGAAAAGCACUUUGAAAAGAGGGUUAAACAGUACGUGAAAUUGUUGAAAGGGAAGCGCUCAUGACCAGACUUGGGCCCGGGGGAUCACCCGGCGUUCUUUCGCCGGGGCACUUCGCCGGCUGCCCAGGCCAGCAUCAGUUCGCGGCGGGGGACAAAGGCUUCGGGAACGUGGCUCCCUACGGGGAGUGUUAUAGCCCGCUGCGCAAUGCCCUGCCGCGGACUGAGGUUCGCGCUUCCGCAAGGAUGCUGGCGUAAUGGUCAUCAGCGACCCGUCUUGAAACACGGACCAAGGAGUCGUCUUCGUAUGCGAGUGUUCGGGUGUCAAACCCCUACGCGGAAUGAAAGUGAACGCAGGUGAGAGCUUCGGCGCAUCACCGACCGAUCCUGAUGUUCUCGGAUGGAUUUGAGUAAGAGCAUACGGGGCCGGACCCGAAAGAAGGUGAACUAUGCCUGUAUAGGGUGAAGCCAGAGGAAACUCUGGUGGAGGCUCGCAGCGGUUCUGACGUGCAAAUCGAUCGUCAAAUAUGGGCAUGGGGGCGAAAGACUAAU